GUGAAUCAUCAAAUCUUUGAACGCAAAUUGCACUCUCCGGUUUUCCGGGAGAGUAUGCUUGUUUGAGGUUCUUUUUAAAAAAUAAUCGUGGCUGCUGCUGGGGGGGCGCUUCGGUAUUGGGUCAUCUUCCACCUUUCGGGGUUGUAAGCGAGCUAUAAUUUUUCUAGCGUUUUCUACGAACGUGUCGAAGAUGU
rnacentral:misc_RNA from 1 species